UUUGUAUUUAAUAAAGAAAACAUUAAUCUCAUUUUUAAAAUGCCAAGGAUGUUGAAUACGAAAUUGGAGAAACAAAGUCAAUGACUGGUGAUUUAGAAGAAUGGAAAAGCGAUUUGAUAAAUGUUGAACAAACUACGUGAAUAUGAACACCGAUUGGAAUUUAUAAUAUUAAAUAAUAUUCAUCAAUU